UUUGUAUGUAUGCUUUUUAAUAUCAUUAAUUGUUACACUACACACAACCAGUAACAAUGAUAAAUACUGCCAUGGAAAUGUUAAAAAAAAAAUAUUAUACGUUUCAUGGUGGUUUUUUUUUUUUUCUUUUCUUCAAAAACACAUUUUUAAAUAAAUUAAUGCACAAAACUGAUGGUAGAAAAAAAAAAGAAAACCCAAAACAAACCACAACACAACCGAUCUGUUUAAGGCAAUACUCUACGCGGACGAGAACAGAAGUACAACAUGUGCUACAUGUUCUGAACAGGAAAGAAAAAAGAAGAAAGGAACAUACGAGAUGCAGACUGAUGCUUCGGGAGUGAAAAACUCCCCAAACCAGAUAAUAAAACCAAUGGCCAAGUUAAGUGCAGCAUUAAUACACUCUGCAUGUCACAUGAUUAGCAGGUUCCUAACAUGGACUAAGGUCAAGCUACAACAAAUUUAUCUUCCUAAUUAAAAGGUUAUUCAGGUCAAACCCUACAUUUAACUCUACUUUGCAUUUGGCUGUUUCAGCUAUGUUUCACUAUAUGCAAGGACAGCUUGGAAAUUCAUCCCCUGUUCUGAGAUUAAGGAAAAGGUUGGGAGGUCUCUCCUGAAAGGCAUUUCCAUUAAAUAUAUCCCAGAAGGAUCCCAUUUUCAGUGACCCACAAAUGCCUCCGCUGGGCACCAGGCACUGCGUGGUGGAAGGAGACCUUGGAAGCAUUUCCUCGGGUUUAGUUUCUUUCAAGCUGAGGAUAUGAAAUGGACUUGAUCAGAACACAGAAGAGGGCUUUCUCCCUGCCUGCCGGGUCAUCCGGAGCCUGCUGGAUGCACAGCCUGCUCUUUGCCAGCACGGGAGAAACUCAGCCAUGAAUACAGCCAUGGCAUUUGCUGUUGAGGUUGGUGUGAAGCUCCAUACCUGCCCAGACAGCCCAUCGACCCCAAUUAUUAAUGCAGCCCAGAACUUGGCCACUAGAAGAUGGACAAUAAUCUAAAUGCCAAAAAUAUCCCCCUCUCCCUCCAAAUUUAAAAGAAAAGGGACAGUAGCCACUCCCUGCCAGCUUCCCCUGGUGGAUCCCCAUCAGCUGUGACGCAUGAGGUCAGCAGUGCUGGCUCUCACCAGCACUGACCCAUACGUUCCCAGUAAGGUGCAUGUCUGCAGGGUGCUGCCAGGGGGCAAAGAAGCUUCCUGGGACAUGGUCAGAGCCUCUUGUACUGCCCUGCUGGGGUGCUUGUGGAGGAAGCUAUAGUACACGAAGAAAGAAACUCAAGUGGAGUUACUAAAAAUUAAGACUUGCGAUAGCCAACAGCUGUCUGGACUGCUUUGGGUUUGGGUAGGAGGGGGAGAAUGCAGGAUGGGGCUGAGAAUCAUUUUGGUGCAACUGCCUGUGUUGCCCAAGACCAGUUCAAGGUGGGGACGGGGGAAAGAUGAUGGCUGCUUUGAGAAAGGAGUGAAAGGAGGACGUAUGCAAUAUAACAAGGCUUGCAAUUCUAGAACUAACCAUUGGACAUAGAUAUCAAAGUUUACCUGUGACAACUACUUAUACUUCUAUCACUGCUGCUGCUUUCCUUGCUUCCUUGUCUAACCCUUCCAUAGUUUGGGAAGCUGUAGCUGUUGGUGUGAUGGUCAGCUCUGGCUCUCCCUCCACAGCCCCACACAGCACACAAGGGGACUCAGCUGCAGGAUGCGGUGAGCUCUGGAAGAUGCACAUUAGACACAGAGCAGCUCUGCAUGCAAGUGGCAUCUGCUUUCAGAACCUUUCAGAAAGCUGUUUUGUAGUGGUUCAUUCCCUUCUUUAUUAAACUGAAGGUUCAGUAGACCCCAUGAAAGGAUUUUAAAUGGUUAUAAAUGUGCAUAAGGGGAGAAAGGGGAAUAUCUUUCUGGAUUUUCUCCUCUGCAAAGACUGUCCUCUGCUAGAGCUAUUCCCCCUGCAGAACUGCACGCCUACCAGCAUUUGCUUCAUAGCAGACAAGGGAACCACUGACAGAUGUCCCAGCCGUGCCUCCCAUGGCUGUCAGGCUCAUGCAGGGAUCUUGAGUCCCAGACCCAGCAGGGUGAUGCUGGCUCACACCAAGGUUUUAAAAUCACCUGGGUGACCAUCAGCCCCCCCUCUUUCCUCUGGGCUGAUCAGGAGGGCAAAGGGAAAUCCUGGCUGUCUCACUGGCUCUCCCAACAGUCACACUUGCUGCAUCUCCUGCUGGGCUGCUGUGAGGAGAGCUGGCCCAAGUUUUCCACCUCUCCAUGGGUCUGUAUCACAUCACAGCUUAAUGGAGACCUCACCUGGGGCAGGUAAAUGGGCAGCUAGGGGAGGGCAAACACCUCAGCAAAUAACAGGACUUAUCUCAGCGCAGCCUAUCAGUGGCCCUUCUUUUCCCAGUGCUUACUGCUCUGUUUCCAGUGACACAUCUGAAAGUAACAUUUUAAUGACGUUUCAAUUGGACCUUCCACUCCCAGAUACAAUUCCACUGCCCCUCUCACCAUUUGUUGCUAUGGAAAUGACUGUUUCACAGACUGGGUGCAAUCAGCAAGAUGUGCUCCUUCUGGAAGCAAAUGCAUCUUUGGCUCAGACCUACCACCAGUUUCUGCUGGCAAUUUAGUCUGGGAAGCAAUGGGAAGAGUUGCUCUCUAUGGGUGCCAGGGAAAGCUGCAGUCUGUGCUGGUGUGUGUGUGUUCUGCUCUGUGCCAUGGCAUUCUGCAUGCUCUGCUCCAUGUAACUUCAGUUAGCCAUGUCCCUGGCCUUCCCAGCAAGCUGCCAGAGGAGUGCUCAGCCAGACAGCACCUGGCUGCUGUGAUCCUGGGACUGCCACCAGUGUUUGGGGUCACAGGAAAGGAUAUAGCUGCAAUUUUUGGGAAGCAAGGCAACGGUUCAGCUGCAUUACACGGGUAGUGAAAUCUCAGAUGGCAGCCCCUGUGAGAAGCCUGCUCCUGGGUUAGUGCGGCAUUAACCUUCUGUAUGCAAUCCCAGGUCACAGCUGACCCUUCUGUGCUAAGCUGAUAGCCCUUCUGCUUCAGAGCUGCAUGGCUCUGCAACGGGCAGGUUUGUCUGAUGAAGUGCAGUUCAAGGUCUGGAGUGAUCUCUUGCAAAAGAAAGCCUUGACAGGAAAUGACAAGGAUGUUGUGUCCUCCUAGAGGACACACUGACCAACUAUGAAAAUCUAUUUUCAAUACAUGAAAAGCAGAGAGAGACAGAAGCUGUGAAGAGACGGCUCUGAAGGAUGCCAGAGGCCAAAACCAGGGUACAUUCAGGGUGGCACGUGCAGCCUGUGCUUGCUGAGCCCAGCAGCAGCCAGGUGACAAAGCCUGUUUUGGUAUAGGUGGGAGGGCCAUACCCCAUGUGUGCUUGAAGGAAGAAUGGAAAAAUGAAGGGAGAGACCCGACAAAUACAUCUUGUAUUGUUACAUAAAUGCUAAGAAUAAAAGCAUGAAACUGCCUUGGUAAUAUCACAAAUGAGCAUUUCAGUGAUCGCUUCCAUUCAAUUAGAGCUCACUAUCUGAGUUGUAAAAACACCUGCACUUUGAAAUCCCUUAACUCUGCUAGCACGGGAUGGUGCUGUUGGGCCACUGAAUGUUACUACACAUUCUCUGUGUCAGCAUGCACACUGAGUAGCCAGCUGUGCAAAGGCAAGAACCAAAUAACUGGGAAACAUAUCCUUGCCAAACAUCUGUCCCUAAAGCUGCUUAAUCUCUCUACUAAGCUCCACUCUGCAGCAUUCUGAUACAAGAAUAGAACCAGAAGCAGGUAAACUGAGGGAGAGUUGUCUUGCUGUUCUUUGUAGAAUUAUGAAACUACCUGUUUAUAGCAUGUUUUUUGCAUCUUGCUUGCAGAGCUAUUCUAACAAUGGUGCCCACUGUACACUCAGUAACAUCCAUGCAAGGUGGUAGUGUCCUGGGAAGGCAGAUUUCUUCCCAGUGCAGCAGAAGGGAAUGGAUGACUAGAGGGGAUGUGACUUGCCUGAGGCUAGAGCAAACAUCUAACAUGUGCCAAAAGCAGCACGAUCUCAUUUCUGUGCUCUGUAGGUCCAGUAGAUUCUUUGCAGUAGUAUUUGGCUGUAGUGCCAUACCAGGGACAUGGUGUUUUUUGAGUGUGCAUCUGAAAGCAAGAUUUGCUCCUUGCUGGUGUCGGCACUGUACUGAGAUAGAUAAGCCUGGAAUACUGGGACAUGUCCUGGCCCACGGCAGCAUUUGGCAGCCUUUCCAGCUAUUGCUUGUUUUUCUUCUAUCAUUCCAUCUGGUGCUCAGCUGGGUCUCUCCUUCCUUCAAAAGCAUCUUCAUUUUGCUGUUGAGUCACAUGCAGGGUGCUGCACUUUUCAAGCUUCCUGUGCACUGUUGUACAGCUUGCAGGCCACCCGGGGGACAAAUUGCAUGGAGAGAGAAGGUUUCUGCUCAGGAUUUCAGACCGGUGUGUCCGCCAGCACACAGCUGAGCAGAGCAGCUGCCUCCUUCUGCGAAAGGAGAUGGAGAGCCAAACCAGAGCAGCUGAGUCUGUCCUGUCCAUGGGUGAGCACAGCAUCUAGAAGUCCAUUUUGAAGUCUGUGCUCCAGGCUUGGCCCUCUGCUUUUGCAGUUGCAAAGCAUCUGCAAGCAAGAUGGACAGAGAAUAGCAGACUGGAGGGUCAAAUGUACACCUUGGGGGCUGACAUGCAGCGACAUCAGAUUUGAUCCAGUGCCUCUUCCAAAGGCUGGCUUCGAGAUAAGUCUGCUAAGAUCAAAGGAGCCUCUGGGAUGGUCAUCUAGACAUCAGCCU
ensembl:lncRNA